GAGUUUGAUCAUGGCUCAGGAUGAACGCUGGCGGCGUGCUUAACACAUGCAAGUCGAACGAAGCGCCUUAUUUGAUUUUCUUCGGAACUGAAGAUUUGGUGACUGAGUGGCGGACGGGUGAGUAACGCGUGGGGUAACCUGCCCUGUACAGGGGGAUAACAAUCAGAAAUGACUGCUAAUACCGCAUAAGACCACAGCACCGCAUGGUGCAGGGGUAAAAACUCCGGUGGUACAGGAUGGACCCGCGUCUGAUUAGCUGGUUGGUGAGGUAACGGCUCACCAAGGCGACGAUCAGUAGCCGGCUUGAGAGAGUGAACGGCCACAUUGGGACUGAGACGACGGUCCCAAACUCCUACGGGAGGCAGCAGUGGGGAUAUUGCACAAUGGGGAAACCCUGAUGCAGCAACGCGCGUGAGUGAAGAAGUAUUUCGGUAUGUAAA
rnacentral:rRNA from 1 species